rnacentral:rRNA from 1 species
UGCAAGUCGAACGAUGAUCCCAGCUUGCUGGGGGAUUAGUGGCGAACGGGUGAGUAACACGUGAGUAACCUGCCCUUGACUCUGGGAUAAGCCUGGGAAACUGGGUCUAAUACCGGAUACGACCAUCUGACGCAUGUCAUGGUGGUGGAAAGCUUUUGUGGUUUUGGAUGGACUCGCGGCCUAUCAGCUUGUUGGUGGGGUAAUGGCCUACCAAGGCGACGACGGGUAGCCGGCCUGAGAGGGUGACCGGCCACACUGGGACUGAGACACGGCCCAGACUCCUACGGGAGGCAGCAGUGGGGAAUAUUGCACAAUGGGCGAAAGCCUGAUGCAGCGACGCCGCGUGAGGGAUGACGGCCUUCGGGUUGUAAACCUCUUUCAGUAGGGAAGAAGCGAAAGUGACGGUACCUGCAGAAGAAGCGCCGGCUAACUACGUGCCAGCAGCCGCGGUAAUACGUAGGGCGCAAGCGUUAUCCGGAAUUAUUGGGCGUAAAGAGCUCGUAGGCGGUUUGUCGCGUCUGCUGUGAAAGACCGGGGCUCAACUCCGGUUCUGCAGUGGGUACGGGCAGACUAGAGUGCAGUAGGGGAGACUGGAAUUCCUGGUGUAGCGGUGAAAUGCGCAGAUAUCAGGAGGAACACCGAUGGCGAAGGCAGGUCUCUGGGCUGUAACUGACGCUGAGGAGCGAAAGCAUGGGGAGCGAACAGGAUUAGAUACCCUGGUAGUCCAUGCCGUAAACGUUGGGCACUAGGUGUGGGGGACAUUCCACGUUUUCCGCGCCGUAGCUAACGCAUUAAGUGCCCCGCCUGGGGAGUACGGCCGCAAGGCUAAAACUCAAAGGAAUUGACGGGGGCCCGCACAAGCGGCGGAGCAUGCGGAUUAAUUCGAUGCAACGCGAAGAACCUUACCAAGGCUUGACAUGAACCGGAAAGACCUGGAAACAGGUGCCCCGCUUGCGGUCGGUUUACAGGUGGUGCAUGGUUGUCGUCAGCUCGUGUCGUGAGAUGUUGGGUUAAGUCCCGCAACGAGCGCAACCCUCGUUCUAUGUUGCCAGCGCGUUAUGGCGGGGACUCAUAGGAGACUGCCGGGGUCAACUCGGAGGAAGGUGGGGACGACGUCAAAUCAUCAUGCCCCUUAUGUCUUGGGCUUCACGCAUGCUACAAUGGCCGGUACAAAGGGUUGCGAUACUGUGAGGUGGAGCUAAUCCCAAAAAGCCGGUCUCAGUUCGGAUUGGGGUCUGCAACUCGACCCCAUGAAGUCGGAGUCGCUAGUAAUCGCAGAUC